UUUCUUGUUUCUCAUAUUAUGUUUUCAAAGUAAAGGAGGUUUUUACUCUGUCAACUGGUCGAUUUAAUCUAAAGUACUUUUCAAGUUGCAUAUCAGGGUAAAAUGGCCAAAAUUCAGUUUUUGCUGAUGUAGAAGUGUGAAUUACAAUGUUUAAGCAUUUUUGUAUUUAAUAAUUUCAAGAGUCUUUUAAUGUUCUAUUGUCCAUCUGGAAGUUUGAGCAGUUCUUGUCCCUCCUAUCUAUUUGUUUUAUGUUUUUGCAUGAAAAUGACAUUAAUCAGGACCUUCAUAUUGAGAUUGGAAAGGUGAAAAGUGAGAUGUUGCUGUUUGCAGGCACUUUAGGAGGUUGCAUGAGUUUUAAGACAAUGUUGACAGUAAGACAAUGGUAAUCUUGAAGGUAGAAGUUUAUAGAACAUUGAAUGGGCAGAUGCUUUACAUAUUUUAGUUCUCUUAGAUAACUUCCUCUUGGUUGUGUGCUUCAAGGUAGUUCAAAUGCUUUACGCUUAUAUAUAUUUUCAUCACAGAGAUUCAGCCAUUGAAAGAGAAAAGAGCACAAUGAAAGAAUACACCUCCUCAUGGUAAUGAACAGAUGUUUGGCAUUACCAUCGUCUAUGAAACAUAUUUCUUUCAGAUUGUUGGGAAAACAUUCCCUUUUUUUUUUUCAAGAAAGGUCUCAGGUAUUAAUACUUGGUCACUUCUGUAGGAACCACAGAUUUAUAACUUCUAUUUUAAUUUGAUGUUAAUUCUAAGUUGCAGAGGCUUAUGCUUGAACAAAAUGGACCUGUUAAUUCAUUUAAAUUUUUAUGUCUACAAAUCAUACUGGUUUGACCGACUUCUCAUUAAAAUUUCUUGCAGAAUCAUUUCAAGAUUGGUUUCAAAUAUAUUAAAUGAUUGUUACAUUGUUAUAUGCUUGAAGAUUUAUAUGAUAUCUAAUUUUGGUUACAAUUGGAAGUUGCAGAGGCUCGUGCCAGCAAUAGGAGCAAACAAUCUGGUCUGGAAAGAAGCUAAAAUGGGAAUGUUAUUACUUAUCCAAGUGGGCAUUACCUUUGUUGCUGCCACUCUCAAUGCUUGUUAUAAUCUGACACAUUGACCAUAUGCUAGGCUGAAUGAGCAAAUACCAAAAUCUCUACCUCAAUUCCAAUGAGUACUCAAUUUCUGGUAAAUGAUGAGAAAAUAAAGAUGUAUUGGCAAUAACAACUGUGAUAGCAUCAGGGGAACAAUAAUUCCCCAAAUGGAACAUAGCUUCCUAUGAAAAUGGUGAAGUAAACUUUACAUUCCGAAGCCCUCAAAAUUCAAUGGUGGUUUCCAAAUUGUUCAGGCAGCAGUUCCUUCCCAAAAAGGGAAAUCUUUCCUCAUUCGCAUCAAUGGUGCAAGAUAGCAUGUAAAAUCGGGUAAUCUAGGACCUUAUGUAUAAACCAAAUUCAUAUUGUCAUCAUAGCAGAGUGUCAAGAAACAUA